GUGAAUCAUCAAAUUUUUGAACGCAAAUUGCACUCUCUUCGGAGAGUAUGCCUGUUUGAGGGUCAGCCUGAAAAAAAUCGAAAUUAGUGCUGUUACCCCGUAGCAUUUGUCGGGAAUUGGGUCAUCUUAAACCUUUGGGGUUUAAGCGGCUUAAAAUUUUCUUUACGAUUCCACGGACGUUUCUAAAAUUUUACUUCUUACACGUUUAAGGUAUCGAUCUUUUAUAGAAGUUGCCGUUACAUUGGAUC
rnacentral:misc_RNA from 1 species